UGGAGUUCACUUGAGCUUAGAGGUUAAAGUCGCUGUGCUCUUGAAAUCAAGACAUUUCCACAGUCAACGGCGAUUAUAAGUGAGGAGCUCCAGACAGUCACAGCAAACACCCUCCGCCCAGCCUCGUCUGCAGCUCACAGCUGAGUGUAGGAUGUUUACAGCGACUACACUGGAAGUGUGUGCAGUCGCAGACAGAGGUGUCCUCUGCACCGGGGUCCUCCUGUGACUUCGAUUGUCCCACAAAGCAAUCUGUCCUGAAUAGGUG